CAAAAUGCGAUACCUGGUGUGAAUUGCAGAAUCCCGCGAACCAUCGAGUUUUUGAACGCAAGUUGCGCCCGAGGCCUUCUGGCUGAGGGCACGCCUGCCUGGGCGUCACGCCAAAAGACACUUCCANNCCCAUCACUGGGUGUGGACGUGGAGUUUGGCCUCU
rnacentral:rRNA from 1 species